AUACGGAGGAUGCGAGCGUUAUCCGGAUUUAUUGGGUUUAAAGGGAGCGUAGGUGGGAUAUUAAGUCAGCUGUGAAAGUUUGGGGCUCAACCUUAAAAUUGCAGUUGAUACUGGUUUCCUUGAGUACGGUACAGGUGGGCGGAAUUCGUGGUGUAGCGGUGAAAUGCUUAGAUAUCACGAAGAACUCCGAUCGCGAAGGCAGCUCACCGGGCCGGAACUGACACUGAUGCUCGAAAGUGCGGGUAUCAAACAGGAUUAGAUACCCUGGUAGUCCGCACAGUAAACGAUGAAUACUCGCUGGUUGCGAUACACUGUAAGCGGCCAAGCGAAAGCGUUAAGUAUUCCACCUGGGGAGUACGCCGGCAACGGUGAAACUUAAAGGAAUUGACGGGG
rnacentral:rRNA from 1 species